GCCGCCGUAGCACAGUUGGUAGCGCGCAGGGCUGUGGCCCCUGAGGUCGAUGGUUCGAUUCCAUCCGGCGGCA
rnacentral:tRNA from 3 species